rnacentral:ncRNA from 2 species
CAGAGUAAGAUUUUCUGCGUUAAGUGCCGUUCCGACGGGGAGUUGUGGAGCGGACGAAGGGAAGCCGCGGUAGAAAAUCUGCAUCCCGCUGU